GGGCGGGAGGGGGUCAGAGUUGGGUGAUGAAAUGUCUCCAAGGUUUAGGGUGUGCCGUGCCCCAAGGCUCCUCUGCCUCCCUAAAGACUGCAGGACCAGCGAGGGGGUGGGAGAAGUCUCACUUGCCCCAACCCAGCAAGCCCCUGGGUCCCAGGCGGCUAGAGGCUGGGGAAAAACAUGGAGCUGCGAGCUGCAUUCUGCCUAUUGUGUACUCAGCCUGGUUGGAUCUCGCCUAUGUCAAAGGAAGGAAGAGCAGGAUCCUGGACUCCUGCUCUGUUUGGAGCAAUGGGGUGUAUGACAGCUGCCUGCGAGGACUUCUGGGGAAGUUUUCCACCUUGAUAGGAGAAAUGUGUUCAUUUCCCAGUCCACAGGGACUCGGAUCAUACAGAGGCUAA
rnacentral:lncRNA from 1 species